rnacentral:rRNA from 1 species
CUACGGGAGGCAGCAGUAGGGAAUCUUCCGCAAUGGGCGAAAGCCUGACGGAGCAACGCCGCGUGAGUGAUGAAGGUCUUGGCAUCGUAAAACUCUGUUAUUAGGGAAGAACAUAUGUGUAAGUAACUGUGCACAUCUUGACGGUACCUAAUCAGAAAGCCACGGAUAACUACCUGCCAGCAGCCGCGGUAAU